rnacentral:lncRNA from 1 species
UUCAUCUCUCACAUGAGGGUCUUACGAUCUACUUGCAGGAAAGUCCUAACAUGAAUCCAAGAUGCUCCACAGAGCACGGAAAGGCUCCUGUCCGAUCCCAGUGUCUGGGCUGGAAACAGAAGAGGCUUCUGCUACUUUGUCACACUGAAGAGUAAGUCAUCCCAACUCAUUAUGUGUGCAUGUAAGGGAAGAAAGAAGAACUGAAUAACCAAUUCCCAAAUUAUGAAAGGG